rnacentral:rRNA from 1 species
UGGUUGUCGUCAGCUCGUGUCGUGAGAUGUUGGGUUAAGUCCCGCAACGAGCGCAACCCUUGAUCUUAGUUGCCAGCAUUUAGUUGGGCACUCUAAGGUGACUGCCGGUGACAAACCGGAGGAAGGUGGGGAUGACGUCAAAUCAUCAUGCCCCUUAUGACCUGGGCUACACACGUGCUACAAUGGACAGAACAAAGGGCUGCGAGACCGCAAGGUUUAGCCAAUCCCAUAAAUCUGUUCUCAGUUCGGAUCGCAGUCUGCAACUCGACUGCGUGAAGCUGGAAUCGCUAGUAAUCGCGGAUCAG